GGAAAGAUGGCAGAGUGGUUGAAUGCGGCAGUCUCGAAAACUGUUGAUCGCUUUUUGCGAUCCGGGGGUUCGAAUCCCCCUCUUUCCG
rnacentral:tRNA from 2 species